CCUACGGGCGGCUGCAGUGGGGAAUAUUGCACAAUGGGCGCAAGCCUGAUGCAGCCAUGCCGCGUGUGUGAAGAAGGCCUUCGGGUUGUAAAGCACUUUCAGCGGGGAGGAAGGCGGUGAGGUUAAUAACCUCAUCGAUUGACGUUACCCGCAGAAGAAGCACCGGCUAACUCCGUGCCAGCAGCCGCGGUAAUACGGAGGGUGCAAGCGUUAAUCGGAAUUACUGGGCGUAAAGCGCACGCAGGCGGUCUGUCAAGUCGGAUGUGAAAUCCCCGGGCUCAACCUGGGAACUGCAUUCGAAACUGGCAGGCUAGAGUCUUGGAGAGGGGGGUAGAAUUCCAGGUGUAGCGGUGAAAUGCGUAGAGAUCUGGAGGAAUACCGGUGGCGAAGGCGGCCCCCUGGACAAAGACUGACGCUCAGGUGCGAAAGCGUGGGGAGCAAACAGGAUUAGAUACCCCAGUAGUC
rnacentral:rRNA from 1 species